rnacentral:rRNA from 1 species
UACAGAGGCCCCAAGCGUUACUGAGAAUCACUGGGUUUAAAGGGUGCGUAGGUGGCGCGUUAAGUCCGUUGUGAAAGCCCUGGGCUCAACCCAGGAACUGCUUCGGAUACUGGCGCGCUUGAGGCUAGUAGAGGUCACUGGAACUGACGGUGGAGCGGUGAAAUGCGUAGAUAUCGUCAGGAACGCCAAUGGUGAAGACAGGUGACUGGGCUAGAUCUGACACUGAGGCACGAAAGCGUGGGGAUCAAACGGGA